GACGAACGCUGGCGGCGCGCUUAACACAUGCAAGUCGAACGGAAAGGCCUGCUUUCCCUUGUGGAUUGCGGGUACUCGAGUGGCGAACGGGUGAGUAACGCGUGAGUGAUCUGCCCCCAACUUGGGUAUAAGCCUGGGAAACUGGGUCUAAUUCCCGAUAGGACUGCAGGGUGGUGCCUGUGGUGGAAAACGAUUUUCUAGUGGUUGGGGAUGAGCUCGCGGCCUAUCAGCUUGUUGGUGGGGUAAUGGCCUACCAAGGCGGCGACGGGUAGCCGGCCUGGGAGGGUGGACGGCCACAUUGGGACUGAGAUACGGCCCAGACUCCUACGGGAGGCAGCAGUGGGGAAUAUUGCACAAUGGGCGGAAGCCUGAUGCAGCGACGCCGCGUGGGGGAUGACGGCCUUCGGGUUGUAAACUCCUUUCGACCGCGAGGAAGCCACCUGGUUGGAAGGGUGGUGACGGUAGUGGUAGAAGAAGCACCGGCUAACUACGUG
rnacentral:rRNA from 1 species